rnacentral:lncRNA from 1 species
AUAAAACUAUAAUUAACAGAGAAUAACACAAGAGAUUUAUACUGGUUCACCCAAACAAGGGCUAGUCCAGUCCCGACCAACUGCCGGAAUUCACUCGCCUAAAGGUAAUGGCAAAACCUUUCUAAGCUUUAAGGCUACUUCGCUUAGGAACCAGUCUUUUACGGGUAGACUCACACCUUAGAGUAUCAAGGGCACUCUUAAGAACCUCUAACUUUUACGGGUAAGUUAGUACCUUAGAGUAUCAAGGAACUCUUAAAAACCUCUCUAAGCUUUAAGGCUACUUCGCUUAGGAACCAGUCUUUUACGGGUAGACUCACACCUUAGAGUAUCAAGGGCACUCUUAAGAACCUCUAACUUUUACGGGCAAGUUAGUACCUUAGAGUAUCAAGGAACUCUUAAAAACCUCUGAAAUCUUUAAAGGUAGACUCAACCUAAGAGUUUUCCCGGAAACUCUAUAAAACCAAACUAGAGCUUUAUGGUUGAGCUCACAAACCUUCUCUAACACUUUGGUACUAUUGAGACAACCCUCUCAACCAAAGUGGACACACACAAGAGGUGAUUAGAGGAGUGGAAUAUUAAAGCAAACAAUACUUCUUACUUGUAAAGAUGAACAAGAAGAUUAGAAGAAGUUGGAGAGCUUUUGAAGCUUUGGAAAGCUAGGACACUUGAGCACUUGAAAGCUUGGAAGCUUGGAGGCAAAAACGUGUGGGCAAAUGUAGAGUGAAAGCUCUUGAGUUUGUUUGUAGUGUGGUGAGUGAAAAUGAGGGGAUUACCCUUCUAUUUAUAGCCUUGGCCACUCAAUGUCCACCCUUGGAUCUUCAAUGGAUGGCUCCUUGAUUUCUCACAUAAAUCCAAGCUUUGUCUUUGAAUAGUGUUUUCCUUGGAUAGUGUUUUGUCCCCUUGUUGGAGAAUCUUAUCUUUGUUGGAGAAUCUUAUCUUUGUAUAAAUUCAAACUUGAAUAGUGUUUUGUCCCCUUGGAAUAUUAUACCUUGAAUAAAGUGUCAAAAGAUAAUAAUAAUAAUAUUCAAGGUGAAAUGCAAUUAUUCCAAAUAAUAAUAUUCAAGGUGGAAAUGCAAUUAUUCCAAUUAAUAAUAUUCAAGGUGAAAAUGCAAUUCUCCCAAUUAAUAAUAUUCAAGGUGAAAAUGCAAUUCUCCCAAUUUGACUUUUUAACUUUGACUUAAACCCUUAACUCAAAUGAUUAAUUAAUUAACUGGAGUUAGGUUUAUUAUCGAUUGACUUAUUUAACCCCUAUUGAUUAAUAUUGUAAUUAGGGUUUAAAUUGACAUGAUUAAAAUAUAAUCCUAUGUCGACAAUUUUGAUUCUACAUUCUCCCCCUUUGUCGAUGGCAUAUAUGUUUUAACUCAUGUCUAAUCAAUAUUCUAUUUUACCCUUAUGAGCAUGCUCCCUCUGAAUUAUUGACCCAUAAUAUUCAAUUUAAAAGCAGUGGAUCAUGCAUGAUUUCUCCCCCUUAAAACAAUAAGGUAUCGACAAAGUUAAAAAUAGAUACCUGUGAAGUAUCUCCCCCUUAAUGAUAGGACAUAUCUAAUUUGUGGAGAAAAUAAAAUUUCAUACCUCAUUGAGCUUUAAUCACAAAUUCGAUUUGUGUGGUUGACCAAAUGUGACGUCUUGCUUAUAAGAGUGUUAGUCAAUCAUAAAGGAGAAAUAACAUGUAAUUUAUGCUCAUUGAUAAAAUAUUGGAUUUAAGCCAAUUUUGAUAUACAUUAUAAGGCAAGUAUGAUAUGAUAAUUUAGAUUGCCUUGUGCUAAGAUCAUGCAAUGAAUAAUAAUCCAUGUGUGUGUUAUGGAUGAAGAUGAUCUUAACAUGUAUGGAUUAAAGAUUUUAUAAUGUUAUAAUCCAUAAGAUAUUAGUGAAUGAUAUGUAUAAAUCCAUAUUAUUCACUAAUUACUUUAAGGAGAAAUUGAGUAUUUAAAAUUUUAAAAUCUAUGUCUUAGUGACAAAUAUAAUUAUGUAAAUAUUCACUAAGUUUUAAAAGAUUUAAAAUUUUCAUUUCAGUCCUUAAAGCCUUAGUAGUAAAACUUCACUUAAAACAAAAUUUCAUUUAAGCCCUUUGAAGUUAUAAUAAAUACUUAGAUUAAUACUUGAAUUAUUUCAUUUAAACCUUGGAAGUAUUAACUAAUUCUAAGCACUUUUCAAUUUGAAAACUUCAUGUAAAUAUAAAUUUUAAGUCCCUGAAGUUUUAACUAAAUAUUUAUUCACUGUAAAGAUAUCAUUUUGACUCUUAAGUUUUAGUGAAUCUAUUAAAACUUAAAAACUUCAUAAACGAUUUACGUUUAAGUCCUUGAAGUUUCACAAAACUUUAUAUUCACUGAAAAAUAUAAUUUUAAUCCUUAAGUUUCAGUGAAUCAUUUUAAACUUAGAAACUUCAAACAUAAUUUAUGUUUAAGCCCUUGAAGCUUCUAGUUUAUCCAUACAACCCUUAAAUAUUUGAAUCUCUAAAAGAUCUUGAAGAUAUGGAGUUAAUCAUAUUUAUUUAAUGGUUGAAUUUUUGAUGAUUCUUGAUAAUGAACUAUUUGAGAAUCAUAUCUACUUUUAAGUCUUUAAUACUUAGUGAGAAAUUGAUUUUUCAUUGAAGUUUUUCACUAAAAAUAAAGCAAGCUUAGGUCUAUGGUUAGACCUUAAACAAAACAGACUUAAACAAAGUAGAAACAUCUAUUUAACAGAUGUUGCAGUGGUGUUUGAACACCAUCGAUCAAACUAAAAAAGAACAUCUAAAUCAGAUGACAUCGAGUGGGCAUAGCAAGCUAAUCAAAACCAUGGUUGAUGGUGUUAGCUUCCUCAGUGGGAACUUUUAACAUCUCGAUUUGAUAUUGCAAGUCUGCGAUCAGAAUUCCUUGGUUUUUAAUACUUGAUUCCAGCACUUUAAUCCUUGAUUUUGCCUCAUCGAUCUCUUUAAACAGGUGAGUAGUUAUCUCAGAUUGACUUACUUGCUUCUUCCCUGUGAUGAGAUCCAUCACCUUUUUCCAGUCUGGAUCAUAAGAAUCCAUUUUGAAGAUGGUAGGAAUGGGUGAGAAAGGAAGGUUUUGGUUUGAGAGUGAACAACCUAGUAUUUAUAGAUGAAGCUUUUAGGUUUCCAAGAAUUUCUUGUUUUUGGUUUGACUAAGCCAUGAAAAAUCGUUUUAUCUUGUAGUCUCCUUCUCAAAAGAGAGUUCUUUAAUUUCCCAUGUACUGACAUGACUUGUUAGAUUUAACAAGUAAUGAGAUUUUGAAACUAUCAUCUAAGAGCUAGCUAGGAUCUUAGCAAGGCUUGUAUUUUAGUGGCUUGUAACCAGAAUAAUAUUUAAUUUAAAACAUACCUUUUGGUGGCCUUCAAUGCAUUCUUUGCACUAUACACGAUAGUCCAUGCUCCUAGCUGUCGUGAGUGACUAGUUGCGACAGGUUUGCUAGAUGAAGUUGCAACAUCGAUGUUGUAGAAUGUGCAGAAGACGAUUCUCAAUACCAUGAGGUAAGGUUUGGAUUACCAAUACCAUGUGAUGUUGAUUUUGCUCAAGAUAUGACAUAAUGCAGUAUGGGUGCAACAUAAUAUUAAUUUCAUAAUUUUUCCAUAAUUUUUCCAUACAUGUAAGUGAUGACAUGUCAUAUGCAUGAGUCAAUUUAAACAGUAGUAAAGACAUGACAUAUUUUGGCAUAAUCAUUUCAUAAAAUUAUAAUUUUCAUUGUAUACACAUCGUUUGUUCACUUGUAGAUCAUGUAUGUGAAUGAUAAGCAUGUCCAUGUAAACAACUAUUUAUAGUAGCAUGCAAUGUAUUAACAGCGUUCAAUUGUAAGCAUGCAUCUAAUUUAUAGUAACAUGGCAUAUACGAUAGUCAUGCAUUCAAGUUAAACUCUUCACGUUAUGCAUGCAAAUGAUGAAUUAUAUGUAUAUACUUAGUCAUGUAAAUCUUAGAUUUGUAAAUUCAUGCAUACGUAUAUUCAUUUUACUGUGAUCAAAGUUAUAACGAUAUUCAAGUGAAGAAUAAAACUUGAGAUGCAUUAACUCAUAACUAAUCAAAUUUCACUAAGCUCACAUAUACCCAUAGAUCUUCUGAUUUUUGAAUGAACUUCUUGAUCUAAAGGUUUAGUGAAGAUGUCAGCCAUUUGAUCUUCAGUAGAAAUAUAUUCUAGGCAUAUAUUUUUCUUUUCUACAUGAUCUCUAAGGAAAUGAUGUCUGACAUCAAUGUGUUUAGAUCUUGAAUGUAACACAGAGUUUUUUGAUAAACAAAUUGCACUCUUGUUGUCACAUUUAAGAGCUACUGUUUCUAAAGCUAUAUCGUAGUCGGAUAAUGUUUGUUUCAUCCACAAAAUUUGAGUGCAUGCAUUAGAUGCUGCCAUAUAUUCUGCUUCAGUUGUGGAUAAAGCAAUACUAUUUUGCUUUUUACAUGACCAUGCUACGAGUGAGCUUCCCAACAGAAAGCAUGUUCCACUAGUGCUUUUUCUGUCAGUCUUGCAUCCACCAAAGUCAGCAUCACAGUAUGCUGUCAGUGUGAAUGAGUUGUCCUUAGGGUAGAAUAAUCCAAGUGUAAUUGUUCCUUUGAUAUACCUGAUUAUUCUUUUAACCGCUUUGAGAUGUGACUCUUUUGGGUCUGAUUGGAAUCUGGCACAUAAGCAGACUGCAAACAUGAUGUCUGGUCUACUGGCUGUUAGGUGUAGCAGUGAUCCAAUCAUUCCUCUGUAUUUCUUAAUGUCUACUGAUUCCUACAUCUUUGUCCAAUUUAAGAGUUGAACUCAUCGGAGUUGGCAUAGAUUUAGAUUCAGUCAAGUCAAAUUUCUUUAUCAAUUCCUUAGCAUAUUUGACUUGACUUAGGAAUAUUCCAUUCUCCUUCUGUUUGACUUGUAGACCUAAGAAAAAAGUCAACUCUCCCAUCAUACUCAUUUCAAAUUCGUCUUCCAUUUGUUUGGAAAAUUUCUUACAUAGAGUAUCAUCUGUUGAUCCAAAUAUAAUGUCAUCAACAUAGAUUUGAAUUAGAAUAAUGUCACUUUUGACAUUUUUAAUGAACAAUGUAUUAUCUAUACUCCCCAUUCUAAAUUCCUGAGAAGUGAGAAAGUUUCUUAGUCUUUCAUACCAAGCUCGGGGUGCUUGUUUCAGACCAUAGAGGGCUUUCUUAAGUUUAAGGACAUGAUCAGGGUUUUUGUAAUCUUCGAAACCAGGGGGUUGUCUAACAUAUACUUGUUCAUUGACUAUUCCAUUCAAGAAUGCACUCUUUACAUCCAUUUGAUAUAAUUUGAAAUCUUUGUAACAUGCAAAGGAUAGGAGCAUUCUGAUAGACUCUAGUCUAGCUACUGGUGCAAAGGUUUCAUCAUAAUCAAUUCCUUCUUGUUGAUUGUAUCCUUGCGCAACCAGUCUAGCUUUGUUUCUGACUAUAGUUCCAUCUUCAUCCAGCUUAUUUCUGAAUACCCAUCUUGUCCCAAUGAUUGAUGUAUCUUUUGGUUUUGGAACUAGUUCCCAUACAUCAUUUCUCUCAAAUUGGUUGAGUUCUUCUUGCAUAGCUUGAAUCCAGUAGUUGUCGUCGAGGGCUUCAUCAACUUUCUUGGGCUCAAUUUGAGAGACAAAACAGUCAAGAACACUGUUUCCUUGAAUGGAUGAUCUGGUUUUAACGCCAGCUUGAUGGUCACCAAUGAUUUGAUCAGUGGAAUGUGGAUUCCUGAGCAGCCUGUUGGAUUGAGGCUCAAAGACUUCGAUUUCGUCAUUGGUAGUUUCUUCAGUUGGAAUGAUGAUUUCUUCUGGAACUAUUUCAUCUUCUUCUACAAUGGUUGUCUGAGUGGAUUCAUCAAAGUCAACGUGUAAUGAUUCGAUCAUUAUAUGUUUUUCUUUGAGAAGAAUUUUGUAGGCUUUGCUCCUUCUAGAGUAUCCUACCAGGAUACCUUCAUCAGAUUUCUGAGCAAAUUUGUCUUGGUUGCCUCUUGUUCGGAGAACAUAACAUUUGCAUCCAAAGAUCUUGAAGUGUGAGACUUUUGGCUUUCUUCCAUUCCAGAUCUCAUAUGGAGUUUUGUUCAAGGUUUUUCUAAUAAUCACCUUGUUUAAUAUAUAACAGGCUGUGUUAACAGCUUCUGCCCAGAGAUACUGUGGUGAAUCAUGUUCUUGUAACAUGGAUCUACUCAUCUCUUGUAGAGUUCUGUUUUUCCUUUCAACAACUCCAUUCUGAGGGGGUGCUUGAGGAAAAGCAAAUUCUUGUUUUAUUCCAUGAGUUUUGCAAAAUUCUUCGUACUCAGAGUUCUCGAAUUCUCCUCCAUGAUCACUUCUGAUUCUUUUUAUGAGAACAUCCUUUUCAUUUUGUACACGUGUACAAAAUGAUGAGAACUCGUUGAAUAAGUCACUUUGAUUUCGUAAGAAGAAAACCCAAGUAAAUCUUGAGUAAUCAUCUACUAUUACAUACGUAAACCUUUUUCCGCCAAGACUUUGGGUUUGGGUUGGCCCAAAUAAGUCCAUGUGUAGAAGUUCCAAAGGUCUGGAUAUAGUAAUAUCUGUAAGGGAUUUGAAUGAGCUUUUAUGCUGUUUCCCUUUUUGACAAGCAUCACAGAGAUUACUUUUCUCAUAUGCUAUUUUAGGCAGUCCAGUCACCAAUUCUUCUUUUGAUAGUUUGGAUAAUCGAGAAUAACUGGUGUGACCUAAUCUUCUAUGCCAUAAAGUCUUUUCAUCACUUGCUGCAAUCAUGCAGAAGUCAUAAGUUGGCUUGGAGGGAUUAAAGGUUAUCGAAUAAGCAUUGUUUUUCCUAUAUCCUUUAGCAAUUAUAACUCCCUUGGAGUUAAUGAUUGAGCAUAAAUGUUUUUCAAAUUUAACUGUGCAAUCAUUAUCACAUAAUUGGCUUAUGCUGAUAAGAUUAUGUUUAAUGCCAUUUACUAAGUAAACAUCUCUAAGAAAUGGUCUAUCUAUAUUACCUAUAUUACCCCUACCUAUAAUGGUACCUUCGUUGUUAUCGGCGAACUUGACCUUCUUAGUAGUAGCCCAGUCGGUCAAGUCUGUCAGCAGACUUGAAUCUCCAGUCAUGUGCCUUGUGCAUCCACUGUCGAACAACCAUUUUGAUACAUGUUUUUCCUGAAAGAGUUGAAUAACCUUUUGGUACCCAUACUGAGUUGGGUCCAGAUGAAUUAACAUAGUUGAUUUGCUUAUAAUUUUUUAACUCAUCCUUGGUCAUCCAUUUUUGUUUUGGAUGAUUCAUCUUAGAUAGAUCUUUCUUUUUCUUAAGAUGAAUAGGUUUUCUGUAGCUAGAUUCUCUUACAAAAUAAUCAUUAUAAGUUAAAGCAUGUAAAGGUUUUUUAAUAGGUGCAUUUGAUUCAAACCCUAAUCCAAAUUUCUUUUGACCUGAGCUUGAACCUUGCAACAUGUCAUUUAGCUUAGAUGAACUAUUUAAGAAUUUUUCAAGAACAUUAUUCUUCUGACCUAUUCUUUUGAUUUGUAAUUGCAUAUCAUUACAUUUUUCAGAUAAUUUUUGUAUGGUUUCUACAUGCUCAAGUAUGAUUUUGUCCUUAGAUUCUAUUUCUGUUUUGAGCAUGAUUGUUUCUUUUUCUUUUAACAUAAUAUCUUCUUCAAAAUUAUCUAUUUUUAAUUCUAGCAAUUCAAUUUUAUCAUCAUCUAUUCCUUAGGUUGAUUUUCUUCAGAUUCUAAAAUGUUAAGCAAUUCAAAGUUUUGACUCUUAAGUAUCUUAAUUUUUACUUCAUCUUUGUUUAAUUUACUUGUGAGUUUUAGAUUUCUUUCUUUCAAUUGCAUGCAUUCUUUUUGUGAUUCUUCUAAUUCAAUAGAUUGAUCUAUAUGUGAUUUAUUCAUGCAUUCUAGUUUUAAUGACUUAGUUAAUUUUUUCUCAUUUUUAUAUUUUUCCAUUAAUUUUAGAUAUGCUUCUUCUAAAGAAUUAAAUCUAGUAUUUGCAAAACUUACCUCAGAGUUGCUUUCAUGAGCCAUGAGACAAUCUUCUUAAUCCGAGUCGGAGUCUGCCCAUUGUGCCUGAUUUGCUCUUUCUUUCUUUAGCAGAGGACAUUUUGGUUUGAUGUGUCCAGACUUGUCGCAUAGAUAACAGAUUGGUUCUUUUGACUCCUUGCUCAUUCUUCUGUCGAACUUCUGAUGACUUGACCUUGAGUCUUUCUUCUCUUUCCUUUUUUCAGAUAUCUUCUCAGAUGAUUGGUGAUCAUUGCUAGAUCAUCUUCUGAUGUUUCAUUGUCAGAUUGACUUUUAAGAGCAAUAUCCUUUUUCUCUUCUUUAGCUCUAGAGAUGAAUCUUUCUUCUUCAUAGACCAUCAGAUUUCCACAGAGUUCCACAACUGUAAGUUUGUUGAGAUCAUGAGCCUCUUGGAUAGCAUUCCUUUUGGAGUAGUACUUGUUUGGAAGGCUCCUCAGAAUUUUGCUUACUUGCUUCUUCUCAGUUACUGGAUUUCCUAGUCCAGCCAGAUCAUUAACUAUUUGUGAUAGUCUAAUGUUCAUCUCUGCAAUAGUCUCGUCUUCCUUCAUAGAGAAUCUUUCGAACUGAGAGGUAGCAUGUAACAGCUUGUUUUCUUUAACAUGGGAGGUUCCUUCAUGUAGAUCCUCCAAUGCUUUCCAUACCUUGUGAGCUGUAUCCAAGCAUCGAAUUCUGAUGUACUCAGAUUCAUUGAGUGCUCCAUAUAGAGCAUUCAAUGCUCUUGAGUUGUUAUUUUCCUUGAGGGUGUCCAUUUCUCCCCAAGUCUCUUCAUUGCUUGUUGGAAUUUCAUAAUCCUCUAAUAUGAUCUUCCAUACUCCAUUGUUGUUUGACUUCAAGUAUAACUUCAUCUUGUUCUUCCAGAAGUCAUACUUUACUCCAUCGAACCUGGGAGGUUUGUUUGACGCAAGACCAGUGUUGAAUUCACCAUUUGGUGCCAUAGUUGUUGUUGUAAGAUGUUAGUCAAACUUCAACGGUACUUGACUCUGAUACCACUUAUUGGAUCGUGAUCCGAGGCUAUAAGGGGGGAUAAUAGUCUCUUUUCGAUUUAUACAGGUUGAUUGCUGAAUUACCUGUAAACACUUAAUAAACAAAUGGUUGAACAAUAAUGAUAUAGAGAUAUUAUGACUUUGAUUGAUCCGAGGCUAUCCGAGCAAUCCUCUAAUAUGAUCUUACUAUAGUUGUUUGUAAAACACUAUCAAGCAAGUUGACUCAGUAUUCAUAUACUAUGGUAAGCUUCGAAGAGUAAUAAUUACGUUAUUAUCCCCCCUUAUAGCCUCGGAUCACGAUCCAACAAGUGUUUAUUAAGUAUAUGAGUACUAAGUUAUAUUGUAAACACAAAUUGUAUUGUAGAGUAAAUGACCAGAUAACUGGAUAUAUAUGAUAAGUAAAUGCUUGAACAAAUAUAUGAAUAAGGAUUUAAAGCAAUGAAUAUAACCUCAGAUAGUUGACCAGAUAACUGGAUGAGAGAUCUACGUAAAGUAGUUAACCUCUGUAUUUGACCAGAUAACUGGAAGAGGGAUCCUUUUCAAUUAAGUGUUGUUUAGUUGUUUUUAGAUGAAAGAUAAAAACUAAAGUUAACAAAGAACAAUACAAGAGAUUUAUACUGGUUCACCCAAACAAGGGCUAAUCUAGUCCCGACCAACUGUCGGAAUUCACUCGCCUAAAGGUUAUGGCAAAACCUUAGAGUAUCAAGGAAACUUUUAAGAACCUCUCUAAGCUUUAAGGCUACUUCGCUUAGGAACCAGUCUUUUACGGGUAGACUCACACCUUAAAGUAUCAAGGGCACUCUUAAGAACCUCUAACUUUUGCGGGUAAGUUAGUACCUUAGAGUAUCAAGGAACUCUUAAAAACCUCUCUAAGCUUUAAGGCUACUUUGCUUAGGAACCAGUCUUUUACGGGUAG